rnacentral:rRNA from 1 species
GUGCAGCAGUCGCGAAACCUCCGCAAUGCGGGCAACCGCGACGGGGGACCCCCAGUGCCGUGGCAUCGCCACGGCUUUUCCGGAGUGUAAAAAGCUCCGGGAAUAAGGGCUGGGCAAGGCCGGUGGCAGCCGCCGCGGUAAUACCGGCGGCCCGAGUGGUGGCCGCUAUUAUUGGGCCUAAAGCGUCCGUAGCCGGGCCUGUAAGUCCCUGGCGAAAAUCCCACGGCUCAACCGUGGGCUUGCUGGGGAUACUGCAGGCCUUGGGACCGGGAGAGGCCGGGGUACCCCUGGGGUAGGGGUGAAAUCCUAUAAUCCCAGGGGACCGCCAGUGGCGAAGGCGCCCGGCUGGAACGGGUCCGACGGUGAGGGACGAAAGCCAGGGGAGCGAACCGGAUUAGAUACCCGCGUAGU